rnacentral:tRNA from 1 species
UCCCCGGUAGCUCAGUUGGUAGAGCAGCGGACUGUUAAUCCGCCUGUCGCUGGUUCGAGCCCGGCCCGGGGAG